ACCACAGAAGGAAACAUAGAGUCUUUCAGUAUCAACACUGCAAAGACUGCUUUAUUUUCAGGAGCCAGGAGAGAGGGCCCUCUUUAUAAUCCCUAAUCCUGGAGAUUAAGUGAAAAUGUGUCUUUCUGUCAUUGAUGCCUGACAUUUGCGUGACCUGUCUUCAUUGAGUCCUAAGUCUGGGAUGGAGAAGAGGACACUGCCGACGUUUUUAUGUUCUGGGGCUGAGAUUCUGCGCUCAAUGUGAAGUCUGAAGAGGCCAAACAGAACCUAUAGAGCAAUGUCCCUGGAACACUUAGUUCUUUGCUGGGCUCUGGGAAUAAUGAACACCAUCCAUCGAGUAAGGAUGGAUAGGGAACGAGGUCUCUUUUGAAGUCCAGACAAUUUUUGAUCAAAGCAACUUUGGUUUUCUUUCCAGAAAUAUUAAAUUGUGGUUUAGUACCUUGUAACUUCUCUAUUGCCUGCUGGGAGACCAACCUUGACUUCAAAGAAACAUAGGCUUUGGCUUCACCUGCUGGUGAACUCUCUUGGUGGGGAGGGGGAGCCCUGCUUUGCAGCACUGGCUGAUUUCCUUGGUAAAUACUCCCACCCUGACUGGUUUCAAGCUGUCAGAAUGAAAUGACUGACAGUAGAAAUGGGGAGAGAUGUGUACACUGGGCUCUCGAGAACAGGCGGAGGCUGCUACUGCACAUCAUGGGUAGAUGAAUGACAGGCUCCUUUAUCUCCACACCCCUAUGGGGUUUCCCAUGGGAAGAGACAUCAUUGGAAGAAGACAGCUCUGUGUUUAUGUCUAGCUGGGUAACUUGACUUCUCUACACUCAACAGGAAGACCAGAACAUUUAUACCACUCCCCCAGUGCUUUAAAAGGAAAAGCUAAAUAUACGGGGUUUAUUAUUAUUUUAUUUUUUGAUUUUUAGGGCUGCAUCUGCAGCAUAUGGAAGUUCACAGGCUAGGGGUUGAAUCAGAGCUGCAGCUGCCAGCCUACAGCACAGCCACAGCAAUUCAGGAUCUGAGCUGUGUCUGUGACCUACACCACAGCUUACGGCAACACCAGAUUCUUAACCCACUGAGGAGCCAGGGAUUGAGCCCAAAUCCUCAUGGAACUAGUCAGAUUCAUUUCCACUGUGCCACAACAGGAACUCCCUAAAUCUGCAAGUUUAUUAUCAGAGGGUCCAGUACACAAGAGAUGCUCAUCAAUGUUAUUUCUAUCUCUUAAUAACUGUUGUUUUCUUAAUAACUUCUAAGCUGGAACACUGUUUAGUCCACCCGUGGUUUGAGGGACUAGAAAGCCCCACCCUUUGGGUCACAUAUGUGAGGAGCUCCUUAAACUGGUAGGAGAAGUGCAUGGUAGUGGGGUUCCAUCUCAUUCUCUCUUUUCUGACUUUUCGUUCCCUCUUAACAUCUUUCUUCUUAUUUCCAUAAGGGAGGCUUUUAUGAAGUUCUUCAGAGAUGCUAAAUGAUUUCUUCAUUGGCACACAGAAAGUCAGUAGCAAAGGCACAGAUCAAAGCCAGUGUCUCUUAUUCCCAGUCCCACUUUCCCCAUGGCCCUUGCUGCUAAAGCUGGGUCCCCAGACAGUCUUUCUCUGCAUGGAGACAGGGACCAGGAUUUGCCACCUACACGUGACCAGCUGGCUUUUCCUUCGCAAGAAGGUGGAUUCGUCAUAAAUAAUUGCAACAGGGCUUGUCUGUGUGUAAUGAAAAGACAGCACGGGGAGUGUCAGAAUGUGAAGCUCUGAGCCCUGGCUGUGCUACCUAUUAUCUUCUGAGUCUGUAAAAUGGACAGGGUGAUGCUUACCUUGCAUAUCUCCUAGGGCAGUGGGAGGACAGCCUCCAUCAUGGCGAAAGUGUUGUGUAAGCUGGAAAGUUCAGAGCCAGUCACUCACUGUCAGAAGCAAGCCCACAGCAUGGUGGCCAGCAUCUGUGCUCAGGAGGCAGACUGGUCUGGGUUCGAACUCUAACUCUAGGCGAGUUCCUGGUCCUAUUUGAGACUCCACUUCCUCUCAGUUACCUUGUUUCAGGGAUGAUCCUUCCUACUUCAGUUGUUUUUUAGGGGGUUUACAUGUGAAUGUGGUUCCUCUCCGGGCAUGGCGCCCAGCAUCUUAAAGUGCUCAUUAGCUGUCAGUUACUGUCAUUAUUAUUAUAUGUUGCAGUUUAUCCUGGUCUUUCCUUAGAAGGGCUUUCAGAAGAUGGACCCAGAGGGGCAGAGGGAACACUGCCAGGGUAAGCUUGCAUCCUUUCCUGGUUUUGCACUGAUGAACCCUUGGCUGAGGGCAUAGAAAGGACCUGCCUUUGCCACUGCUGCUUCUGUGGUCAGUUCCCAUCUCUGGAACCUGCCACAUCACACACUGUUAGGCCGAAUGGCCCAUUUCUUCACAGUAGCCCUGGGGGUGAUUACUGUCACCCAUCCACAGAUGAGUGUAUCUCUUUGAGUGGUUAAAGUACUUCCAUGGAGUGUUGCAGUUGGUUAGCUGAACUGUGAGUUACAUUCAGACCUGGCUGAUGGCAGAGCUCACUCUGCCUCCUCCUCUGUGGGUCAGUUGGUCUCGGAUCAUAGCACUGAAGUGUGGUGCCUGGACCAGUAACAGCAGCAUCACCUGUAUGCUUAUUAGAAGCAAGUCGGUAACUCAGAGCAGGGAGGGUGUGGGGUCCAGCAGUGUGUGUAUGUCCUAACAAGCCCUCUCCAGGUGUUCUGAUGCUUGCUGAGAAACACUUGUCUGUGGAUCCUUCUGGGGAAUUUCUUUCAGACUCCUCCCCAGCCCCAGAUUCUGGGAGCUGUGCUUUUGGGGUGAAUUGCCUUCAGUGUCAGUGAUGAAGCAGCAUUAGAGCUGCCUUUCACUAUUCUAUUUCUCUUUCUAGGGAAAUUCCCUGUAGAUCAGGGUGUUAAUUAGGGUAAAUUAAUAGCACUUCUUACAUCCUUAGCAUGCACCUGGUGCCAAUAUUAUUUUUAAUUUUACGGUGAUAUUUCCCCAAGAUGUGCAGCGUAAACAGGGCAUACACACUGAUUUUUCAAAUCAGUCUCUGACUUUGCUGGCAGAGCAGACCAGGUUGCUGCCCAAGCAUUCCGAGAAGAACUACUGGUACUAUCAUUACUAUCUGUUGUCUCCUUUCAUCUGAGCACAACAGCUUAGAAGCUACUAUCUCUUUGAUAUACUCUCUUCUUCCAGGAAAAAAAAAAAUGUCUUUUUUUGACUUGUCUAUCUCUCCAACUAGUUUGAAAGUUAGAAAGAGUUGGAAUAAAAUAUUCUGUAGGAGACUGAAUUUUGUUUGCUGCCGUGAGAAUAGGUGGAGGGUGGACAAAAUUGCCACCAAAAUGCUGUCCAAUAAUAUUGAAUUUAUGAAUAAUCCAUAUCUAUAAUUAUCUUCAAAGGGGGAUCUGAGUUUCUAGCAUUUCCUUCCUAAUUUUCUGCAUCUGGCCACUGAUACAUUUGGGUGGGAACUGUCUAACAGAAGGCAUGAAAUGGCAUUAUUUCAACAAAAGCUGUAGGCGUGCAAAAUUCAAGCCUAAAAGAAGUAGUAUGAUGUUUAAGGUCGCUGGUUUGGCCCACGGAGGAGCCUAGACUACAUCUUAGUACAAAUGUGAGGAAAUGGAGUUCAUUUCUCCCCAUUGUCCUCUUCUGGGGAUUUAGUUUGCUUAUGUGUGGUAAGGGAGGGGUAUAUACCCACUUUGGCAUACUGGUUAUUUUGAGCUCUAGUCACUUGAAAUACAGCAAAUGCAGAGAAGCUUUCUUGAAACUCCCCUUAUCUGCCUAAAGACAGAUUCUCCAAGAGGAACUCCAUUUUUAUAAAUCCCUUCCCUGAGAUUUCUCAUCAACCAGGGAAGACUGACUCUUGUCAGAGGAGAGGACAUCCUACCCAGGUAAACUUUGUCACAUUCUAUCAUACAUCUAUGCUUCUCACUCAUCUUUCUCAAAGAUCAUUUUCUCUCCCCUGUGAGAUCUGCAUUGCCCCAACCCUCCCCCGAACAGUAUGGCAUUUAGCCUGAAUUCUGAGCCAUCCCUUUGAGUUAAACAUUUUCCCUUGGGUGUCUCCCAGGUACAUAGGAGGUAUGCAUGUUGAUAAACUUUGGUUUGUUUUUCUCUUGUUAAUCUAUUUUUUAUUGUAAAGAUCAUAGCUAAGAACUCAGAAAGAUAGAAGAAAAAUUGUUUUUUUUUCCCCCUGCAGUGGAGUGCACUGAAGACCCUGGGUUUCACAGGUGGAACCACACUCCCCUAUUCAUUUUCAUCAGCCACAGCACAGGGAAUGACUGCUGGGGCUGAGCCAUGUGCUGCUUUAGGAGGGGAGAGGUGGCUGGGAUGACACUUCUGGGCAGGUGUCAGGAAACCUUGCUGAAGUGACUGAAUAGGUGAAUUCAGACAGGAGUUUUGGUAUCUCAGUGCCUGUUCUCUCAUCUAGAAAUGGAGGUGUUGAAAUUAGUCCCACUAAUCUCAUAUGAAUAGUGGGAUGAGGAGCAUCUGGGAGUACAAACAUUAGUGUGAUUUGAAAAGCUUAAAGUGCUAGAUGAAGCUGGGACAACCUUUAUUAAAAUGAGCAUUUCUCAGCCUUUGCUGAACUUCACAAUGCUGGCUUUGCAGGGACCUAAUCUUCACUUGUUAAGCUCCCCUCUCUCUCCCUCUCUCUUUUUUUUGAUGGGAGUUCUGCUUCUGCAGCUAGUUCCAAGGCUAAAGGGACAAGGGAAAAAAAUAACACAGAUUCUGGGGCUUGGGAAGUUUUGGAGGUAUAAGAGGAAAUUGUGGGUUUAAGAGUGAGGCUUUGAAGAAGCAACUGAUGUGCAAGAAAGGAAGGAGGUUGAAAAAGCAUUAAGGAGGUUGGGGGCAUAUUAUGAACUCAGUUCCCUUUCAUGUUCUUUAAUAAUUAGAAUUACUCAAGUAUUCAUGAUCAUUGGACUGUGUUUCUUUGACUGCAACAUCCUCUCUAGAUUGGACCAUAUGAGGCUUCAGCUUAUAUCUGGGUAUUUUUUAACGUGGCAUUCCUAAUUGGGAGUCUAGGAAAGAAAUUGUUAAUUAUGGAAAACUUGAAGCUUAGAUGAAAGAAUGAUAUAUGUUAGACCUAGGAGUCCUAUUCCUUACCUCCAGUUCCUUGACUUACACAGUGAGAUGUGAAUGGAUGUUUUGUAUACAAACAAUUGAAAGCCUUUGCCUUUGUAAAAAGAAAUAACCUGCUU
rnacentral:lncRNA from 1 species